CCUGAGAUGCGCACAUAGUCAGAUAGCCCACGAGGCCACGAGUACGUUAUCAAUCCCUUCCGAUCGAGAAUUCAUUGUCUGCUUCCCAAUAAUUUCGGCUGAUUCCUUUCCGCCCAGAUCGUGAGCCGCAAGCCGGCGAUUCCGGCCUCAUCUAGGUCGUCCUCACCAUCACCCCAAGUCCGGUCUCCGGUGGACCGUCGAACUCCACUUCACGACAGAUCCGCUGACGCUGUCGCUUAGCUUGGAGGCAGAGGCAACUUAGAAUGCUAUCAUGAGGAUUAUGAGAGUCAAGGGUGAAGGGCCUCACGAUCUACCAUCUAAAGAGUCAUCUUCAGGUGUGUAUGCAUCGGUACAAUUAGGUUUAGUUUGAGUACUCUCUUUCUCUCUCUCUUCCUCUCCUAAUGUGUGGUUUGAUUUGUGAUUGUAUUUAUCUUAUAAUAAAAUCAUAAAUUUCAUGCA